rnacentral:rRNA from 1 species
CUUGGUCAUUUAGAGGAAGUAAAAGUCGUAACAAGGUCUCCGUAGGUGAACCUGCGGAGGGAUCAUUACAAGUGACCCCGGUCUAACCACCGGGAUGUUCAUAACCCUUUGUUGUCCGACUCUGUUGCCUCCGGGGCGACCCUGCCUUCGGGCGGGGGCUCCGGGUGGACACUUCAAACUCUUGCGUAACUUUGCAGUCUGAGUAAACUUAAUUAAUAAAUUAAAACUUUUAACAACGGAUCUCUUGGA